GAUGAAGAACGCAGCGAAAUGCGAUAAGUAAUGUGAAUUGCAGAAUUCAGUGAAUCAUCGAAUCUUUGAACGCACAUUGCGCCCGCCAGUAUUCUGGCGGGCAUGCCUGUCCGAGCGUCAUUUCAACCCUCGAACCCCUCCGGGGGGUCGGCGUUGGGGACCUCGGGAGCCCCUAAGACGGGAUCCCGGCCCCGAAAUACAGUGGCGGUCUCGCCGCAGCCUCUCCUGCGCAGUAGUUUGCACAACUCGCACCGGGAGCGCGGCGCGUCCACGUCCGUAAAACACCCAACUUCUGAAAUGUUGACCUCGGAUCAGGUAGGAAUACCCGCUGAACUUAAGAAUAUCAAUAAGCGGAGGA
rnacentral:misc_RNA from 1 species